rnacentral:rRNA from 1 species
AGAGUUUGAUCAUGGCUCAGAUUGAACGCUGGCGGCAGGCCUAACACAUGCAAGUCGAGCGGUAGCACAAGAGAGCUUGCUCUCUGGGUGACGAGCGGCGGACGGGUGAGUAAUGUCUGGGAAACUGCCUGAUGGAGGGGGAUAACUACUGGAAACGGUAGCUAAUACCGCAUGACGUCUUCGGACCAAAGUGGGGGACCUUCGGGCCUCACGCCAUCAGAUGUGCCCAGAUGGGAUUAGCUAGUAGGUGGGGUAAUGGCUCACCUAGGCGACGAUCUCUAGCUGGUCUGAGAGGAUGACCAGCCACACUGGAACUGAGACACGGUCCAGACUCCUACGGGAGGCAGCAGUGGGGAAUAUUGCACAAUGGGCGCAAGCCUGAUGCAGCCAUGCCGCGUGUAUGAAGAAGGCCUUCGGGUUGUAAAGUACUUUCAGCGAGGAGGAAGGCAUUGUGGUUAAUAACCACAGUGAUUGACGUUACUCGCAGAAGAAGCACCGGCUAACUCCGUGCCAGCAGCCGCGGUAAUACGGAGGGUGCAAGCGUUAAUCGGAAUUACUGGGCGUAAAGCGCACGCAGGCGGUUGAUUAAGUCAGAUGUGAAAUCCCCGAGCUUAACUUGGGAACUGCAUUUGAAACUGGUCAGCUAGAGUCUUGUAGAGGGAGGUAGAAUUCCAGGUGUAGCGGUGAAAUGCGUAGAGAUCUGGAGGAAUACCGGUGGCGAAGGCGGCCCCC